AUCCUAGCCUGAACACAUUCAAUCUCAGCUAAUUUUGGAAGAUGAGCAGCUUCGGCCUAGUUAGUACUUGGGUGGAAGGCCACCAAGGAAUGCCAAGAAUC
rnacentral:rRNA from 1 species